rnacentral:sRNA from 1 species
ACUACGCUUUUCAUGUGUCCUGCUGCGUGUUUUCCUCUUGAUCGGGAACUCCUGCUUCUCCUUGCCUCGCAAUGGACCCCAACUGCUCCUGCUCACCUGGUAAGGGACACCUAGCUCCGCGCCUUGGGAUGCCCGUUUCCCAGCCACAGUACAGACUGUUCCUGGGUUUGAAAAAGUCGCAUUUUAAGUUCUCAGCUGAAGGGGCUCCUUUAUUUCGUUAGGUGCUUUCUUCCCGAUCACGUCCCUGAGACCACUUCCCACCUCUCUGUGCCUCUAAGUUAGAGUUGAGGGUACUGAGGCCCAAGGCUGUCCUGCUCCAUGUCACCCAGUUGGUCAGGGAGCUGCUGGCUGAGCCCCAAUGCUCUGACCAGGCUCUGAGCAGUCAGGAUGGAUGGGAAGUAGGGGGCCAUUGCCUCUUCGGAGUUCAGGACAGAAGGUUCUGGCCUCCUGUCUUAGCCUUCCUGGGCUGUGUCUGGAGCCUGGGACCUUGCUCAUGGGGUAAAAGCAAGAGGACACUUGCCCUUCCCAAAAUGAAGGGAGAGAAGAUGGGGCUUCUCUUCCUCUCCCCUGAGUGGGAAAGGAGCUCUGAUGGCUGGUCCUGCAGCACAGAGGAGGGGGCACUGAAGCGUUAUUGACCAGCUGCUGUACCUUCUGCAUCUCACUCCCCACUCACUUCCUUUUUGUCUUCCUUGCAGGUGGUUCCUGUGCCUGUGCUGGCUCCUGCAAAUGCAAAGAGUGCAAAUGCACCUCCUGCAAGAAGAGUGAGUGAGGGGCCUUCCUUGCGAAUCUGGGGGAUGGGCCAAGUUAGAGCAGGGAACCCAGAGCUCUGCAGGCAGGGGCAGGCCAAUGACCAGCUUCCCCAAACCCCUCCUUCAACACCUGAUUCAGAAUCAGACCUCAAGUUGCCUUAAAAAUGGGUGAGUCCCAGCCUCUUAUUACCAAACUAGAAACUGAGGCCCAGUGUUGGGAACAAAGCUCUCCUGCCUCCUGAUGCAGCCUUCUUAACCCUUCUGGGUCCUGAAGCACUUAAGGCCCAGGAUCUGGAAGACCCCGGGUGAUUUCAAACCUAAUGAUUCAGCCCUUUCCUGCAGGGGCAGCCCAGAGCUUCCCUAGCCUUCCCCAGAACUGCUGUCAGGGGUUUGCCCCCUGUCUGGUUGUGAAGACUUUCCUCAUUUAAGUGUAGGUUUUGGGGAACUGGCCUCCUUUUGUUGCUGUACCCCCAAUCACUACCUGUCCAGUCUUCUGUCCUGUCCCAGACUCAGGUGAGGCUGGGCAGCUUUUUCAUAUAAAACCCUCAUCCCAAAGAUCCACCAGUUCUCUUCUGACAAAGCCAUGCCAUCCUGAAAUUAUGGUCCUCUGGGGCUGGAGGCGGGGCUCGAGCCAGGCCUCUGUUGGGGCAGGGAGGUGCCUGAUUGAGUCUGCUCUGACCUCUCACUCUCCCUUUCUUCCCCAGGCUGCUGCUCCUGCUGCCCUGUGGGCUGUGCCAAGUGUGCCCAGGGCUGCAUCUGCAAAGGGACGUCAGACAAGUGCAGCUGCUGUGCCUGAUGUCAGGACAGCCCUGCUCUCAAAUGUAAAUAGAGCAACCUGUAUAAACCUGGAUUUUUUUUUUUUUUUUUUUUUUUUUUUUGUGCAACCCUGACCCGUUUGCUACAUCUGUUUUUCUAUGAAAUAUGUGAAUGGCAAUAAAUUCAUCUAGACUA